ACUAAUUUUGAUGGUUCUUUGAUGAUUAAAAGACUAAAAAAAAAGAGUAGUUGGAUAAUUAUUGGAAUCUAAAGUUUCUGAAAAGAAGAGAUUCUUUUGGUUAUCUUUUUAGAAAAUUUGUUUUUGGUUAUUUGGAUUAUUUCUUGAGAGUUGAUUAUCUUUUGUUUUUUUAUUGUCUUCAUAAACUUUUGGUAGUUGUCUCUUUGGAGUUUGAAAUUUAGAAUAUGGAAUUUUGGAUGUUUAUGUGAAGUUUGGAAGUUUGGGUAAUUGAGAUAGAAUAUAUUGCUUUGUUUUACAUGUUAAUUGUAUGAAAGAUUUGCAACAAACUCUAUAGCUCUUUAUCAGGCUAUUAUUAUAUUUGUUAUGGAAUUGCAUAAAAUAAAAUAUCUACAAUCACAUAAAUCACAUCUAUGUUUUUUUCUAUAUAUUAUUAUAUUUGUUAUGAUUUUUUAGAUUUUAAAAAAAUAUAUGGACUGCACCUUGAUAGCAUAGGCAAAUUAAAUUUCUAUCCUGAAAUACGUGAAGACCAAUUGUUUGUGUUUGAAUUAACUCCCAUGAUAGUCCAUGAAGAGCUGUCCUGCACAUGGUCUUUUCCCUUGUGCACACAUACACAAAGAUAUAUAUAAAUAAAUGUAUGCAUGUAGGUACACAUGCUCAUAUAUUCCUUGGUUUAUAUACCUUUUACCAUAUGAGCAGGCUAUGGAAAUUGUUCGACUUCUAUAUUUAUAUUUUAAUCUAGCAGUACUGGUCCCUGAAUAUGGUGGAAUCCACCAUACCAUGUGGAGGUGGAGCCUGGUAGUCCUCUGAGAGUAAAGUUGGGAAAGAGCUGAUCUUGGGGAUCAGAGCAACUGAGAUCAAGCUAGAGGAAGUGGCUAGUAGGCUGAGUCUCCCUCUAUAUGUGAGUACAUCUAGGAAGAGCCUCCCGAACCCAAUGGGAUACUUUUUUAUUAGUCCAGGAGCCCAUGGCUGAAUGAUUUAAAGGAGGUUGAUGCAAUGAAAGAUCCAAUGACUUUAAUUUGGUAGUGGUAGAUACUUAUCAAAGAAAAGGGUGGUCUCUGAAGGUGUGGCAACAGUGUGUCCAAGUACUUCUGAUAAUGAUUUGCAGCAGCAUUUUUGGACUCACCCAAGCCCACUAGGACUAGG